GGGCGUCUCUUCCUCAUCACGAGUGGAGGCGCACCCAGAGCGUACACGCUGAUACCCGAAAGAUGGUGAACUAUGCCUGGCGAGGACGAAGCCAGGGGAAACCCUGGUGGAGGUCCGCAGCGAUUCUGACGUGCAAAUCGAUCGUCGGAGCUGGGUAUAGGGGCGAAAGACCAAUCGAACCAUCUAGUAGCUGGUUCCCUCCGAAGUUUCCCUCAGGAUAGCUUGCGCUUAUGUGAAAGAGUCUCAUCCGGUAGAGCGAAUGAUUAGAGGCCUUGGGGUCGAAACGACCUCAACCUAUUCUCAAACUCCAAAUAGAUGAGAACUCCGGCUUACUUGAAACCUUUCAUGAAGCCGGGGGCUUUGGAUCAGAGUGCCAAGUGGGCCAAUUUU
rnacentral:rRNA from 1 species